AAGGAAGCAGCCGAAAAUCCUUAAAAGAGUAGGCG
rnacentral:ncRNA from 1 species